GAUAUAACAUCAGAGGAGCGAAAAUGAUCGUGCAAUUUUGUGCUUCCUUGACACAUUAAAAAGUACUCCCAAACAAAAAGUACUCUUGCAAGGUCUAUCCAAAUCCAAGAUCUGAAAUGAAGUGAAUCAAGGACCCAUAAGGAAUUAAAUGUGCUUGGACAUCAGUUUUGAAGGAGGAGAAAUAAGAGAAGACUCGAGAAAAGGGAGUUAUUGGGCCUCAUGACCAAAGAGAGGCUGGGCAUAAGAGUCUUGCCAUAAGAGGUAGCCGAACUCAUAAUAUAGGUAUGGGCACUCAUUGGGUACGUAUGUGCAGUGCAAGAAGAAUUACCCACAUAUGCAGGAUUUCUACUCGUGCAAAGGAGCACUUGGAGCGUGCGAAAGAGUAGAGUCUGUGUGCAAUGUAAGCGCGCAUGUGUGCGCACAUGCAUUAGCCAAAUGUGUGAAAGAGAACAUGUAUGUGUGAGUGGAAUCUACCACAUGCACACCUUAUUCGCAUGCGUGAGGCGACUUCUGCGUGCACCAAAAGUGCGUGACCAACUGGUGAGCACGUCAGUCGCACGCGGAUAG
rnacentral:lncRNA from 1 species